GGUCUCGGAGACUUAAGCCUCCAGAAAACACAUCUACCUCUCUCUUAUAUAAGCUCCUCUCUUUCACACCCACCUUCAUCUUCUCCAACCUUCUCUCUCUCUCUCUCAGAUUUUCUUGCUCUUCACUUCUUCCGUGACAUGCCACAAGUCGAUUUGGAAACCCUAGUUGCGGCCUGCGCCGGCGGCUCAAUGGAUCGGAAAAUCGCCUGCGAGACGCAGGCCGACGGCGGAGACCAUGACCGGCCGGAAGACGAGGCCGCCGACGCCGACGAACCGGUUGUGGCGGCGGAUUUCCCGCCGGAGUCGUUCUGGCUGUCGAAGGACGCCGAGUACGACUGGUUCGACCGGAACGCCUUCUACGAGAGGAAGGACUCCACCAAAGGGAGCAACUCCAACUCCACGAACCUGCAUCCGAAUUCGAACAACAAUUCGCAGCGGUUCUCGAAGAACUUGAAGUCCAAGGCGGCGAUUAUUGGCCUACCGAAGCCGCAGAAGACGAACUACGCCGAUACGAAGCACCGGAGGAACUGUAAGGUCGGGAACGGGAGGCUGUUUCCGAAGCGGUCCGGAUCGGUCGGGAAAUCGACGGACGGGUCGAUGAUCGAGCCGUCGUCGCCGAAGGUUUCGUGCAUGGGGAGGGUCAGAUCGAAGCGCGACCGGAAGCGGCGGUGGAGGAACCGGCAGCGGUCGAGCAACGACGCGCCGUCGAUGGAGAAGUCGGUUAAACCGGUCGAGAGACGGAAGUCCGGGUUUCUAGCGAGUUUUCGGGGGUUGUUUCGGCACGGCCGCCGAGGUAAGUCUAAGAGUGACAGCCACGCGCCGUUUGGUGUGGCGGAGUCGCCGCCGAGAAGGAGCAGCAUGGCGAGGAGAGCGGCGUUCGACUACGAGACGGCGUCGUGCGACUCGCUGCCGAGGCAGAGCACGGAGAGCGAACCGCCCGGUCUGGGAGGGAUGAAGCGGUUCGUGUCGGGUCGGAAAUCCGGGUCGUGGGUCGGGGAGCACGGCAUCGACGUCGCGUAAAAGCGGCUCCGGGCCUCGGGAAUGGAGAUUUCUUGAUCCGACGGCGAUCUGUGGGGGCCCCACAAGCGACUCGGGAAAGGGAAGGAAGUGCGUGCGUGGCGGUCGUGAAUGGCAGUCGUGAAUGGGACCCGCUUUUCCCUCUGUUUCAAAAAAAUCUGUCGUUGGGAUGACGUGGCACGUAGAAUAAAAACGGUUUUCCCUCCAACGGGGUUUUUGAGAGGUAUAAAAAAAAGUCUCAUGACCACUUUUUUGCCGUUUUCUACAUUUCGUUGUCGUUUGUAUUUUCAUUGUUUUAGGCGAUGAGGGUAUUUGUAAAUAGAUAUGUCUUUGCGAGCGAGCCGUUGUAAAUUUCAUUGUAAUUUAGGGUAAUAUGGUUUUGACGAAAUUCUGGUUAAUUCUGGUGGGUGUGAAAAUCAAUUUUGAAUGAUGUGAAUUGAAAUUUACGGUAAGAUUAAUUUGCGACGACACAGUGGUAAAACCUGUUCAAGCAUGUGCGUUCUAUCACAUAGACCACAUGUUGAGGGCCUUCAAUGGAGGUGUUCUCGCCUACCGCAAUAUAG
rnacentral:lncRNA from 1 species